ensembl:lncRNA novel transcript
GGGAGCACUUCAGAGAAAAGAUCUGAGAGAAAAGCCUGGGACUCUGCCACCCAGCUCCCUGGCCCCUGGGAGAAGCCAUGGCAGAUAUUUGGGAUGAGGCAGCAUGCUGGUCCCUCAGCAGCAUCCUUAUCACGUCAGCUGUGAGAGAAAUAAAACUGUGAGACUGUGAAGUGUAUAAAGGAUUCUACCGCUCUCCCGGGGCUUGGAGACCCACAGAUUGGAGAAAGGGACCUCUGAGGGUCUAUUUGAGGGCAUGAAUAUGGAAAAUUCAGCUCCAGCUCCUCCACCCCACUCCCUGAACAGCACUGCAGAACUGUGCUAAGCUCCUGUGGCUUGGAAAGAACAGAUGCAAGAGACAUAAUAAAUGCCUCCAAAUAACUUAGUCCUCAACCUGAAGCCAAAGUGAUUUCGGUGUACCAGGAUUGAAAUACUUCUGUAUUCACAACUGAAUGGAUAAACGGGCACUCCUUGUGGCUCCUCAUUGUAUGUCCCCUAGAGGGUCAGCAAGGCCAAGAAUUGGUUUGUGGAACAAAUAUCCAUUACUCCAAUCGGGGAUGAAAAAGAGUACACGCCAUGGAUUUUGCUCUCGGGAGUGAUUGAUUCAGCGAGUGAAAUAAGACCAACAUGCAUGGAAGGGUUGAUGAUGCUAGAAUCUCCCACACUUUGCCAGCCACAGGGAAGUCAAAUCAGUAUUGACUUUGUUAUUCAAAUCAGCACCAGACCGGUCACUUUUAGAAGUGAUACCAUGGGAGGCAAUUAAACCCAGGAAAAUGCUGAGCACUAGAGUGACCAUGCAAGAAGGGGCCUUAGAGAUAGAUCCUGUACGUCUUCACCUGUUGGUGCCAGGGCCAGAACAGAGGCCUGCAAGGGUAAGAGCAAGCUCAGCACCACAGAACUUGUAGGUAACAGAGCCGGGCUCAAGUGCACGCUUCCUGACUGCAAUUUCAACACUCCCAUUCAAGGGAAUGAAGAAAUAGAUGGUGUCACCUCCUUUAAUUUCCUAGAAAGAGAAAACAAGGCACUGAUGCAGCCCGCGAUGAGCAGGAAUGGGAACCUGCAAUCUCCUGGAAUCUGCAACACAUUGCUGCUCUAUCAGAAGAAGAAAUGCAAGGAAGAAGUCAGAUAAGAUGCUCUAACAAUCCUUGGGUCACUGGAUUCCUCCUAGAACCUCCCUUCCUUCUGGAAAGCCAUCAAAAGUAAAGGCACUGGCCCUAUAGGACCACAGGGUCACUUAAGGAACAUUACAGAGCAAUGAUUCUUGACCUUCUCAGCUUCAAACUCCCUUCUAGAAAUUGCACCCCCUUCCCCACCUCACACUAUUUGUUCCAAAGGCUUUUAUCUACCAAAGUUGAUGGGGGGGCUCUAAGAACAGCUUGAGAUUUACUGGUCAUACCCCAGAGUCCCUGUGCUGACAUCGACAUCUUUCCCAUCCACACAAAUUAUCCGUCGUUAACACAUGGACGUGCUAUAUUUCUAACCAAAUCAAAGAACUUGUACCGAUCUUUUCUGCAGCCUUAUUCUGAGUAAAUAUGUGAUUUCCAUUAGGCUUUUUGAAAUAUGUAAAAUAUAUAGACUCCCAUUACCACCUUCAGGACCUCUAGGUGUUUGGGGACCUUUACUAGGAAUUCACUCCUAUGCCCAAAAUGAGUUUGAAGAUGAAAAUUAUAGCUAGGCGGGGAAAGAACUGUUGGUGUAACAAGAUAUUUAAAAGCAAAAAUUUUUCCCCACCUGGGUAGGUCAGGGCCUAGCAUUGGAGAAAGGGAUGUUUUCAAAAUGAGAGUAACUGCUAAAGCAAAAUGUGUAAAACUGAGACAUUGGGCAAAGAAGGGAAAAGAAGGGAAGGGUGUUGGCUUAUAAGAGAAGACAAUUCUGCUGUGUUAAACUGUUUCCCCUGAAACAACAUUUCCACUCAGCUGGGAAAUUUUCUGGGCUCCUGAAACUUCAUUAGGUUUCUGGCAAUUACCCCAAGGAGACCCCCUAAAAGGUAGGCAAUAGUUACACAACUGACAUGCAUUGUGUGACAGAAAUAAAGGAAGCUGCACAUGCUUUUAUUCAUUAACGUAUUUUUUCCACAGUGCCAUAAGGAAGGAAAUUGUAAAUUUGUAAUCAGGCAGAUCUCUAAGUUUUCCAAGAAUGGCUGUUCUCUUCCCAACUAGGGUUAAAAGACAAUUUGUUGCACUCUGGGCAAAUCCCGACUUGGUUCCUGUCUUACUUAAGGUUUCAGAAAUAGUCAUAAAUCUUUUAAAAUAUUUAUUAUUAAUUCAUUUUGGGGCAGCUUUUAUGAUUCUAAAACUUCAGGAUCUGUUUGAAUGUUUCCUGAGUCUCAAGUUUCAUGGAGAAAGGCUGACAGGGAACCAAAUUCCACCAGUGGUUUGGUGGUGUGUGAGCAGGCCAUCAGCCAGAACAUUCUAACAUGUCUACAAAGGGCGUGAUUUGGGGUCGUCUCUGCCGAGAAAUUCUAUGGACUAGGGGGAAACACUUUCUUCUUUCCCCCAGUACUAUUUGGACUAGUUUCUAAAAAUGGACAGAAACACCCUGUCAGCCUUGUGAGAAAUCCAAUCAUCUUGUUAAUAAACAGAAAAGGGUACUAUCAACAUGACUUAUUUUCCACUAACUAGUUAAUGCAAGUAAGACAAGCUAAUAGGCAAAAUUCAGAUUUCAUUUCAUCUAUUGCUUCACCCCACACCAAAUGUAAAUGUAAAAGUCUCCUGAAUUGGGUGUGUUAUAAUCUCGGUCCACUGACAGAUUAUCUAGAAGCAGACUCACAUUUCCCCCAAAAAAGAACCCUGUAAAAAUAGCCAUUGCUCUGUGUAGAUAUCAAAUCUGUGCCUCCUGCAGGGAGUGCAGUGGAUGCAGAAACCCAAAUCCACCUUCAGGAGAGGCAGCCUGGAGGAGUAGCAUGAAGCAAGGAAAGAAGAGUUGGUGGAUGGGUUCUCAAAAAAUCUUCCUUACAGCCAAGUCUGUGAGGUCAGGGGAUAGUCUCCCAAGGGAAGUGGUGGGAGCCCCACAGUUAGAGGCAUUUAGAAGGGGCCUUGAUGGAAAAAUGGAAAUGUAACCCUAGGUUAAAAACUGUGCCCUGAAAAGGGAUAAGGGAGACAAGCUUAAAGAGAUUCUUUCAGCUCUAAUUUCUAAGAAUCCCAUUAGACUACAGAGAAAAAAAAUAAAAGAAAAAAUGAAACAGGAAAAAAAGGAAACAAAAGCCAGAAGAGAAAAUAAUGUUAAGGCACACUGUUAAGAAACACACCGGAAGACCCUCAUGAUCUCCCAGCUACUGUUCCAUCUGAAUGCUGUGUAAGGGUUUGCAAGCUGAAAAUCAAGUGAGCAGAGGGGAGAUCCCUCUCAACUGACUGUGAACAAACCCUGCGAACUCCAGAGCCAUUUGUCUAAACCAAGUGCUGAAAGAAAGGAAGCCCGAGAUGGGGUAGCCACGAAGAUUCAUUUCCUUGUGGAGUUUGGCUAUUCCUCCUCACUUUUAAUCAAUGCAAUCCUGUCUAAAUAGCCUACUUUCCUUAGCAAAGAAGUCUGGAUUUAAGCUC